GAUAACUGGUGGACAUGGAGAGUGAAACAACUCAUACAGUGUGUGCUUGCGUGGCAUGAGCUUCUUUCUUUCGUUAACGAGACUGGAGUCUAAUGAAGAGCACUACAUUU